rnacentral:rRNA from 1 species
CCUACGGGAGGCAGCAGUGGGGAAUAUUGGACAAUGGGCGAAAGCCUGAUCCAGCCACGUCGCGUGAAGGAUGACUGGCCUAGGCUUUUAAACCUUCUUUUAUAAGGAAGUAAGAUAUGACGGUUCUUGAAUUUGAUAUGUCCGUUAACUACGAGCCAGCAGUCGCGGUAAUACGGAGGCGGCAAGCGUUAUGCGGAAUUACUGGGUGUAAAGGGUGAGUAGGCGGCAUGGUAAGCCAGAUGUGAAAGCCUUGGGCUUAACCCGAAGAUUGCAUUUGAAACUGGCAGGCUAGAGUACAGGAGAGGUAAGCGGAAUUCGUGGUGUAGCGGUGAAAUGCGUAGAUAUUAGGAAGAACACCGAUGGCGAAGGCAGCUUACUGGACUGAAACUGACGCUGAGGCACGAAAGCGUGGGUAGCGAACAGGAUUAGAUACCCGAGUAGUC